GACGAACGCUGGCGGCGUGCUUAACACAUGCAAGUCGAGCGAGGCCCUUCCUUCGGGAAGGUGUCCUAGCGGCGAACGGGUGAGUAACACGUGGGCAACCUGCCCUCAGCUCUGGGAUAACUCCGGGAAACCGGGGCUAAUACCGGAUACGACCUCCACGGGCAUCUGCGGAGGUGGAAAGUUUUUCGGCUGAGGAUGGGCCCGCGGCCUAUCAGCUAGUUGGUGGGGUGACGGCCCACCAAGGCGACGACGGGUAGCCGGCCUGAGAGGGCGACCGGCCACACUGGGACUGAGACACGGCCCAGACUCCUACGGGAGGCAGCAGUGGGGAAUAUUGCGCAAUGGGCGAAAGCCUGACGCAGCGACGCCGCGUGAGGGACGAAGGCCUU
rnacentral:rRNA from 1 species